AAGUGAGGAGCCAGUACAGGAGGACAGGGCAAAGGGUGAUUCAUCAAGGUCCCUGGAGCUGGGGCACAAUUACCCUUUUACCCAGUUUGGGCGUGAGGAGUUUCUGCCAGAACGGAGCAUAACAGGAUGGGGGGCAGAGGGUUUGGCUGUUUCUCAGAACAGGUUGUACAACACAUCCCAUUUUGGGUUACUUGCAACACAAACUCUGAUGAGUCAGUAUGUGUGACCAGAAUGGAGUGAUUCUCAAAGUGGAGCAGCUCUGUAUCUAUACUCUUCUCCCUAAAGUGAACUAAAUUACAAGUUUCUCUCCAUGCUCAUCCCUAACUGACUCCCAUGCCCAGGGCUUCCAGUUCCCAGAGAAGAUGUGGUCUCUUAUUUUGAGCAAAAGGAAGCACCAUGGAUGCUGGAGCAAGAAGGCCUGAGGAGCUACGGUCUAGGCACAGUCCUGUCCCCUGAUAAUUCUGGAAAGGAAACUGGCUUGGCAAAGAUUUACUGCCGUCACAUCGAACACACACACGUUUUGCUUCUUCUUGCUAUCUAGUAGAUCCAAAUACUUGAGGCUACUCAUGACUUUCUGGAAAACUACGCUUGUCAAUUUUCUGAACUCAGUGAGUUCAGGAGUGCUAGCGCUAUCCAUACUGCCACAGUUCAACUUCGUUUAUUUUUUGUCCCUCUGGAUGUGAAGGAUACAUGAAGGGGCCAACAAAAGCCAUGGCCAUUUCCCCCCAGCUUCUGGGUCAGAAGGAGGUGCUAGUAGUUUUCUGAGAAGAGUAAAGGCCCUGUCCUGCAGACAAGCUCGAAUAAGGCUACCAAGGUUUAAGGAGUCACUUUACAAUACAAGAGCAUUUCACCCUAAAGGGUAUGUAUGAACUUAAAACCUGUGCUCUAAGGAACCCUUGAGGACAUUGCCAUUUCCUUCAGCACAGAGUUUCUAGGGCAUCACUCCCUUUUCUAGUGGAGGAGGUGUUACAGUGCCCCUCACUUCUGGGAUUCUGUUCCCACUGGGCUCCAGGGCCUCUAUAUAUACCUCCCAGAGGGUGACAUGCCAGCUUGCCCAACAAUGCUGCUACAUUGUGACAUGAUCAUUACCCGGGACAGUCAUUUUGACCAAAAAUGGUCAUCUUAAGUUUUACCAAAAAUAUGAUCUUACCUUUUAACCAAAAAUGGUAAUAAUACUGAUUUUAAAAUAUAUUCCCACUGGGCUCAAGGGCCUCUAUGCAUACCUCCCAGAGGGUGACUUGACAGCUUGCCCAAUCACCUAGAGGUGAUUACAAAAAUUAAAGUAUUACCAAAAAAAAAUUGCCCAGCCAAAGGAGAAAG
rnacentral:lncRNA from 1 species